UCUCUUCUCCUUUUCUCUUCCACUUAUGAUAACUGAAUGGUAGAGCAGAAUGUUCACCAGACUUUGUACCAGAGAACAGGUCUCUACUCUUGGUAACACUGAGCAAAGUACUUAGCCUCUCUACCUAUCAGUCUACUGCUUUAUGAGGAUGAACUCGGAUUCCUGGGACCCAGCGCAGAGAUGGCUUUUAAUGUCUGUUGAAUGAAUGAACUGCCCAGCUCAGCUCUUAGGUACUGAUUCCUAACUUCAUGGACAGUGCCCAGUUCCUUAGUCUGGCAUGAGAAUCUACAGGUCCAUGUUCUGCCCAAUUAGCCAACCUUAUCCAGCUGUCAAACCUACAGUUUUGUGACCCACCCACUUCCAUGGCAAGCUGUCUGAACACACCUCACUCUGGCACCUCUGCCAUGAUUCCCACUGCCUCCGGAAGACAGCCUUUUGGUAACGGAAGCUCAGCCUACUGACCCACACCAUUGCUGAAUGGAUCCCUAAGGCUUACAUCCUCUUUUUUUGGAAGAUAUUAAGAGAAAUACUCUAUGUAAAUUACUUAGCAUAUCUGAAAGUAGUAGAUAACUAUCAUUAUACAAUAUGUUAUAAUUACCCUAUGCUGAAAUACAGCAUAAUGUUGUGUUUAAACAAAUAAAACCUAGAGUCAGACUGCUCAGCUACACUGGUCACUAGUUCCCUGAACCUGGUCAAGUUACCAGAUUCCUCUGUGUCAGUUUAUUCACCUGGAAAAUGUGCAUGAUCAUAGUUGCUACCUCACUGGUGUUUUUGAGAGUUGAAUGAGUUAUCACAGAAAAAAAGCGUCUAGUACCUACCACAUUGUAAGUACUCAGCCAGUGCCAACUAUGCUGAUAUGGCUGGUACAUUUUUCAAAUAGUUUAUGGAAAAUUUCAACAAUGCACAAAAUUAGAGACAACAGUAUCAUGAAGGCCCAUGUCCUGCACACCCAGCCUUAGUAAUUAUCAAAAUUGCAUCAUUAUUGUUUCACUUAUCUAUUCCUUUUUAUCCACUUGUUACUAGAGUAUUUCUAGACAUCAUUAUCAGUUUGCUGUUAAAUGGUUCAAUAAAAACAAUGACUU